UACGUAGGGGGCAAGCGUUGUUCGGAUUUACUGGGCGUAAAGGGCGCGUAGGCGGUCGUGACAAGUCACUUGUGAAAUCUCCGGGCUUAACUCGGAACGGUCAAGUGAUACUGUCGGACUAGAGUACAGAAGGGGCAACUGGAAUUCUCGGUGUAGCGGUGAAAUGCGUAGAUAUCGAGAGGAACACCUGCGGCGAAGGCGGGUUGCUGGGCUGAUACUGACGCUGAGGCGCGAAAGCCCAGGGGAGCGAACGGG
rnacentral:rRNA from 1 species